AACUAGAGAGAGCCCUCGCGCAGAAACGAAGACCCAACACAGCCAAAAAUAAAUAAAUGAAUAAAUAAAUUUAAAAAAAAAAAGAUUAGGGGAUUAGCCCAAUGUCACCCUGCUCCAGAAUAGUAAAAUCAGAUGGCUGUCCCACUAUGGUGGGAACUAAGAACUUCUCCCAUCCUGUUUCUGGCUCUAUUCUGCUUUUGCAGGCACGUCCCCCAUUGCAUAUGCCUUCCACAAAGACCCCAGCUGAGUCCUGGUGUGUUUUUAUUUGUUUUGAAAGCUCUCUCUUCUCUGUCAUUCUUUCCGGCACUGUCUGCGACGCGUGAGACUACUUGUUUCUUCAAGCAUCAUGUGGUUCUGCAGAGCUUAGACGGAGUUACAAUGGACUUCCAGAUCAGAUGUCAUUGGAAUUUAAGGAAGUCAUCCUGAGAGGAACACUCCAGAUCGCUCAUUUGGGGAGAAGCAAACUGCGUACUGUGAGCAGACCUAUCGAGAAAUCCCUGUGGUUAAGUAACUGGUGACUCUGAUCCACAGCCAGCAAAGGCCUGAGGCCUGCCAAUAGCCAGAUGGCUUUAUCGAGAUGCAAUUGACAUAAAACAUUGUGUAAGUUUAAGGUGCACAACGCGAUGACUCACUCUGUGUGUAUAUUGUGAAGUGAUUACUACAAUAAGAUUACCUCAAAUCGUUACCUUUUUUGGUGUGCGUGGUGAGAACUUUCAAGAUCUACUCUCUUCCAGCUUCCAAAUUCUCUUGGCAUCCCAUACCUGAUGAGAAUUUAUGGCUAGUUGGAUGUAACAGCCAAAGCUCUCUCCCUGUGACUUAUAUGCAUCCUGAUAUAUUUCAAUUUUUGCAUACAGGAAGGUUUUCUGGUUGGAGGAGAUGCAAUUCUAUUUCGAGGUUGUGGACUCAAGGUGCCACUAAACAGAGAUUCAUGUGCUUUCAUUGACGUAAAGUGAAUCCUUCAUUUGUGGACAGCUUUGCUGCCCAAACCCAAUCUGUUACUGCAGCCAAUGGGCUUAUCUGAAGCAUCUGUGGAAAGAGAGCAGGGGAGCCAAGAGACCUGGAUCGUGAUUCUGCUAAUCCCAGGGGGUAACCUUGAGUAUGGCCAGAACACUUUUGGUCGCGGCUGGUGGUAUGGACAAAGUUCCAUAGAGCUCAGGGCUUGGCCAGGGAGGGGCAGGGAAAGUUUCUCUAGGGGAACAUUUGAGAGUAGGGUUUUCAAUUAUGAACUUGACUUCACCAGGCAGACAGAGGAAAGGGCAAGGGGUUUUCAGAGAGAGGAAGCUGACUGGACAGAGCAAUGCAAAGUGAAAGUCGGUAAAGGGUCUCAGGAAUGGCAUCUUUGACUGUGGUGAGAAGGAAGGUUGUGCUGUGGAGCCUGGAGAGGCAGGGGGUAGAAGCCAGCUCGUGAAAAGUCUGGAGGACCAAGCUCAAGUGGUUGCUCUGGGCAACUGGCAACUCGCAAAGGCUGCUGAGCAUGGGGAAGUGGGGAGGGAACAUGAUUAGAAUUUGUUUCCAUUAAGCGGUCGACACCCAGUAUGAGACCAAAGGGAUCAUUUGUUGCUCUCGUUAGCCCUGCAUAAUAAGUGAACGACCAUUGAUCUCCCCAUUUAGCAGGUGAGGAAGCUGAGGCUUGGAGAGAUUAAGUGUUCAAGGACACACUACUCAAGGAAAACAGAAGAUAAAAAUAAUUCAUACUCUGCCGGAUAGGAUUCCAUUGAAUUCUUAUAAACUUCAGUUCGAGAUUAGGUAACAUUUGCUCUGAGGCAUUACCAGGGUUUAGACAUUCAUCCAAGAUUCUGAAAUGGAAAGAAGCCAACACUGCAUAAGUAAAAUUCAGAGUCAUUAGUAGAGAUAUCAUUAGGCCUCUCUUUUAAUCAUUUCUAAGAACCAAUGUAUCAUUCUUCUCAUUGGCUCUAGGGGAGGCUGGAACUUGUCUAAAGGUGGGUGUGCAACUAAAAUUUUUGUAACAUUUUCUGUGUCAGCUCUGCUAAUGCAGAGUUCAUCCACUGAUGUUAAUGCCACAGUGGAGGUCUAAAAGAUUCUGGGAGAGCAAAAGAGAUUUUAGUCUUUACAAAUACAGUAGUUGGCCCUUAUCCACAGGGGAUAACAUUCCAGGAAACCCAGUGGCUGCCCUGAAACCACAGAUAGUACUGAACCAUACCAUGUUUUUUCCUUUAUACACAUACCUAUGAUAAAGUUUAAUUCCUCAAUUAGGCACAGUAAGGGAUUAACAACAACAACAAAUAAUAAAACAGAACCAUAAUAAAAGUUAUGUAAAUGUGGCCUCUUUCUCUCUCUCAAAGUAGCUUAUUGUACGGUACUCACCCUUCUUCUUGUGAUGUUGUGAGAUGAUAAAAUGCCUAUGAUGAGAAGUGAGGUGAAUGAUGUGGGCAUUAUGACAUAGUGUUAGGAUACUGUUGACCUUCUUUAUUAUUAUAAUUUUUUGGCGGUACGCGGGCCUCUCACUGCUGUGGCCUCUCCCGUUGCGGAGCACAGGCUCCGGACGCGCAGGCUCAGCGGCC